AUGAGGAGGCAAUGCCGUAAAGGAAUCAAUGGCCAACAUCAUGGCAAUAAGGAAGGGGGCGGCCAUGGAAAGGAAGAACUUGAAGGCCAAAUAAAUGGAGGAGAGGAGGGAGACCGAAGAGAGGAUAAAGACGACCGAGGAGAGGAGGGAGGCGAUCAAGGAAAGGAGAGCAACAUUCGAGGAGAAGAGGUUGAGCAGAGGAAGGUAGCCUACGAAGAAAGAAUCAAGAGCAUGCAAAAUGAGCAAGAGCUCAUGUUUAUGGACCUAAGUACCCUCGAUGAGAAGGCCAAGACAUACUUGGAGCUUUGCUGUGAUCAAGUGUUGAUGAUGAGGUCUAUGAGAGGCUUCAUGGGAGGGUGUAGAGGCAUGGGUGGCAUGGGAGGAGGCAUGAGUGACAUGGGUGGCAUAGGUGGCAAUGUAAACAAACAAUGGCGCCAAUGGAGAUAA
rnacentral:rRNA from 1 species